rnacentral:rRNA from 1 species
GCCCAGCCGUAAACUUUAACUUACAACCCAACCGCCAGAGAACUACGAGCCUAGCUUGAAACUCAAAGGACUUGACGGUUCCCCAUAUCCCCCUAGAGGAGCCUGUCCUAUAAUCGAUAAUCCCCGUUAAACCUCACCCCUCUUAGCCUAUUCAGCCUGUAUACUUCCGUCGCAAGCCCGCCACAUGAGUGAAACUCAGCGAGCUUAAUUGCCUUUUAACAUAAACGUCAGGUCAAAGUGCAGCAAACAGAGCGGGAAGAGAUGGGCUACAUUCUCUAAUAUAGAGUAUACGAAAAAGCUGUAUGAAACCCAGCUACGAAGGUGGAUUUAGUAGUAAAGAGGGAAUAGAGCGCCCCCUUUAACCCGBCACUGGGGUGCGUACACACCGCCCGUCACCCUCCUCAAUGCCACUCACAAGUACUUAACACCAAACAGCUUCAAGAGGAGGCAAG